rnacentral:lncRNA from 1 species
AAACAUGAUUAACAUUUGUUUCCAGUCCUUCAUUUGUAGGCCCCCAUCAUCCAUCUUCUUCAGAUUGCUUCCCAAUCGACUUCUUCAUACUGAACAACUGCAGCAAAGAAUAAUAAAAGGAAUAAAGCAGAUUCAUGGUUAAUGCCAAUGCUCAAGGAAUAAUAAAGUUAAAAGAGGAAAUGUGAAAUUAUCAAAUCAAGAGCCGGUAGAGGGUUUACUGCACAAGGACCCUGCAGAGGAAAAGCUUUAUCCCAGAUUAGUAACUAUGGACUAAAUUCCAGGAAUAUAAAAUUUCUAAGCCAGCCAAGGUAACAACACUACGUAAUAAAACGUCACAAAUUAUUCAGGAACAAAAGCUUUCUGACUAGUCUCGUAUUCUCCUCACACAGGUAAAUGAUUUAACUUUUGGAGCCACAAAAAUCAAUGCAACCAUCUUCACCUUCACAAUACAUUAUUAUAGCACAAAUUGAGGAGAGAAUUUAACCAAAUAACCCAAACAACUAACCUAGCUAAAGUUACAUUUGCCAUCCAUUAAUGAUUGAUAAUAAUUAUCCACAACAGCUUCCAUGUGUAAAGGACACAUUAUCUGAAAGUUCAGUAGUCAGCAAAGAAUUAUUAUCGAUUUAAACAAGUAUGACCAGGAAUAUUAACUUUUUCCUUCUGUGUUGUCUUUUAGUGUACAUUUUGAGCUCGAAAAACUUGUGGGAAAACAAAGGAAAGGAAAAGACAGAAAAACAACAAAGAAAAUGAAAAUAGUCCAUGCUUAUACUCAUACUCCAUCAUCAAACUAAAAUCCCAACAAGAGAACAAUCAAUCAAAUAACUAAGAGCACAUCUUUUUACAACUAAACUAAUUGUAUGUUUUCUCCAUGUCUGCCACUUUAAACCCUUCCCACUUUAAUUCUUUUUCCACCAAAAGCAUACAACUAUCUCUUAAACAUCAAAUUAUGUAAUCAUAGAAGUUCAUUGUGGCAAACUGAUAAAACAGAUAGACGUAAAGGCAAAAAUAACUAUCUCCCUUGCUUGCCAAAGAUAAAGUAAUACAGUCAUCAAAAAGCUUUGCUCGGCAUAACAACGAGACAAUAGAAUAAAGAGAAAGGCCUCAUAGAGCACUAAUAUCAUAUACUUCAAAGUAGACCUAUUCCAAAGAGUAAGAUACAAGGCUCCUUUCAUUAUCUGUCAGGGAACCUAACAAAUUUUUCAUAUUGAUGCAAUUCAUUACAAUAACACUUAAAACUAGGUUUCCAACUAAACAACAAGAUAAGCUAAGCUGAUUUUGGUAACAUCGUACUUUUAUAGCUUGAGAAACCAUCUAAUAUAUAUGAAAUAGACUUUUAGAACGAGUCAUAUCAGUCACCGAGCUGUUGGGCUCAAGUCAGCAGAACAUUGUAAUAUACAAAAUUGAAGCUGCUAUAGUUUGAUUGAGCAAUGAGCCCCUUAUUAAACUAACAUGGAGAUUAUGUAUAUAAUAAUCACAAGAACAAAUUUACAAAUGUUGAUACAAAGAAUAAGGUGGUGUUUGAUUACAAUUGAAUGCAUCUUAACAGCCCAUCUCUUAUUCGCUAAGAGACAUGAAGUUGUUUGCUAAAAUUUUUUUGGCUCUGAAUACGUCUAAAUCGUUAAUAUACAAAAUUAAAUCCAAACCAUUUAGAUGUCCAUCUGAACGAAAUUAACUAUUUUUUGGACAAAAAUGACCUCUUUAAUAUUACAAAAUUCCUCUUUUAUCCCCAAUAACCCUAAUCAAUCUGCAUCUAAACAAAUUUCAAAGUGGGCAAGGCAUCAUAAUUUGAUAUGGAAAGAGGAAGAACAAAGGGAACAAAGGGACCAAAAUCAUCAAGAAGGUAUUGAACAAAGAAUUUAGGAAGUUCAUGAAUUAAGGUUUUUAUUGAGGUUGAUUUGAAUUUUGGGUACCAUUCUUGAAUCUGGCAUCUAUUUACUUCUUCUUCCUUCAUCUUCCAGAAGUGGGUAAAACUGUUGACCAAUAAUCCGCCAUUAAACCGCUAGUCACGAAGAAGCCCACCAUCUGAUCCAGGAAAAAAAACACAUUCAUACACACACAUAUAUAUAUAUAUAUAUACCAAGAAUAACAAACUAGAUCUACAAUUUCACCAUGAAUAAAUUUAAAAAAUAAAUAAAUAAAUUAACCAAGCACAAAUCCAUGUCUCUGAUCUACCUCGUCAUCCAACCUAACAAUAUCCAGAAUAAGAACAAAAAAGAGAAAAGAAGAAGAAGAAAAUGGGUUGUCUAGCAAUUUCUUUUUCUUUUUUGCUUUCUCUUCUUUGCUAGAAAUGAGAAAAAAGGGAAAGAUGAAGAGACGGAGACGGGGAGAGGGAUGAGAGACAGGGAUGGGAAAAUGCAGGGGAAGUGAGGGGUUUUUCUUAAGGGUUAAAGUGGUAAAAUACUAUUAUUCAGAUAAUUAAAAAAAUUAAUUAUCAAACAAUAUUUCUUUAUUUAAAUACAAUUUUAGACAAAUGCUCUACAUUAUUCAGAUGUCUAAACUGUUCCGAUCUUAACAUUCAGUUUUAUCAAACACGACCUAAAUGGCAUGUGCCUUAAUAACAAAUAAAAAAUGCAACUUUAUCAAUUACUAUUAUAUAUCCUAGGAAUUUAAGACAAGAUAAUGGAGUUUAAUUUUAAAAAAUCCCCAAACCAACAAGGUCAGCACAAAUCAAAGGGCAGAAAAAGACAGCCAUUACCAAAAAAAUUAGAUACAAAUAAUGAAAUAGAUAUAGCCUACAACUAUCAUGCCCAAAAUAUCUCUGGAACAUAGUAAAAGUAACCCUAGUAAAGGACAUGAAAAAGUAUUAAGAGUGAUUACUUCUAUGCAGGGUUGGAUCCAUUUAGGGGGCAGCAUAGGCAGCUGCCCCUGCUGGAUUUUUUUGUUUAUAAGUAUAGGGGUAUAUGCAAAUAUAUAAGUGAAUAAAUUUAAGUGGACAGAUUAAUGGAAGAGUUAAACUCGGAAAGGGAAAAAAAAAUUCAUUCAUAUUUUAAAUACAAGUAUAGACAAACGUAGAUUCAUUCUACUCCUUUCUUCUAAAUUGUAUCUAAACAUUUUUUAUUUAAAAUUUCUUUUGUAGUUUAAAUUAUGAAUAUUUAUUGCAAUUUGUAAACAUUAUUAUGAUUAGUUCAAGUUUUUUUUAUUUAACUUCAACAAAAAAAUUAGUUAAAAUCCACACCUGCUAGGAAAAUUUUCUGGAUCUGCCCCUGCUUCUACGGGUACGUUCUUUGUACAAAAUAUGGUAACCACACUCCCGACACUAAAUCACAUCCCCAAGCUUCAGUAUAUUUUCCUGCCCACAAUCUACACAACAAAUUCAAGCCCAUAACAAAUUAACAAAAUGUCUAACAAGUAUGAAAAAUAUGUAACAUAUAUAUAUAUGGUUUCAAUUCAUGACAACCGGUUGCUAGAGUCGCUAUUCCAGCAACCAACAUCAGAGCUGUUAUCAAAAACAUGGAAGGCUAAGAUUAAAAGAAAUAGUCCCAACUGUUACAACCAGUAGCGGCACACAUAACUACAUGUACCGGCUUCUAUUUUAAUAUUGGGUCCAACCUGGUCAAACAAAAGUACAAAUGGACCCCACUUUUUAAUUUUCUUAAGUGCCGCUACAACAUGUAGCGGUUAACCCAUUAUUUCAAACAAUUUUCUUUUUAAAAAUCCCACCGGUCAAACUAAAUGUACAAAUGGGUCCCACUUUUGGGCAAUUAUUUUAUUUUUUUUUAAACUCCCACCUGUUUAAACAUUUUCGUACAAAUGUACAAAUCUCUUUUUUUAUUCAGUUUUCUGCUACAACAUGUAGCGACUGGCUAAUAAAAUUUGAUCCCUACCUUUUAAAACUCCCUCAUUAAUUUAUUAACCCAUUAAUUUUUUAACCUUAGAUGUAAUCAUGAACCCCAGUUAAUUUAUUAACCCCCUAUAUAAUAUUAAACUAACCCAUUAAUGUGUGCCGCUACAACAUGUAGCGGUGGACACCAAAAUAACUUCUUCAUUAAUUUAUUAACCCAUUAAUUAAUUAAUUUUUUAAUCUUAGAUGUAAUCAUUAACCCCAUUAAUUUAUUAACCCCCUCAUAUAUUAAACUAACCCAUUAAUGUGUGCCGCUACAACAUGUAGCGGUGGACACCAAAAUAACUUCUUCAUUAAUUUAUUAACCCAUUAAUUAAUUAAUUUUUUAAUCUUAGAUGUAAUCAUUAACCCCAUUAAUUUAUUAACCCCCUCAUAUAUUAAACUAACCCAUUAAUAUUUGCCGCUACAAGUUGUAGCGAUUGGACUGUUUACAUUCUUCCAUUUAAAGCUGCAAUUUUAAAAGUUUAAAGCUGCAAUGGUAGUUGACCCUGAAAAAUGGAACAAACGACAUGGCAUACAUUUCAGGGUCAACCAUCAUUGCAGCUUUAAACUUUUAAAAUUGCAGCUUUAAAUGGAGGAAUGUAAACAGUCCAACUGCUAUAACUUGUAGCGGCACACAUUAAUGGGUUAGUUUAAUAUAUGAGGGGUUAAUAAAUUAAUGAUUACAUCUAAGAUUAAAAAAUUAAUUAAUAAAUUAAUUAAUAAGGGAGUUAUUUUGGUGUCCAGCCACUACCUGUUCGUCUUUGGUUUUCCGUAUAUAUAUAUAUAUAUAUAUAUAUAUAUAUAUAUAUAUAUAUAUAUAUAUAUAUAUAUAUAUAUAUAUAUAUAUAUAUAUAUAUUUGCUAUGGAUGAAAAAUAGGCAAAUAACAUCAUAAAAUUAAGGGUUCAGAUUCAAAACACAAUUUCUUGCAUCCGCUAGUUCAACUAGCGGACACAAAAAAAAAAUAGGCCCAAAUUACCCCAUAUCAAGCUAUUUACGCCUUUGUUGGUAUUUAUCCGCUAGUUGAACUAGCGGAAGAAGAAUUAGCUUGAUUACCAUGUUAUCCCAAAUAUUUUACAUAGUUAAACCCACAUCAAAAUUGGAAUAAAAAACUUACUGAAUAAAUGCAGAUAGGUUAAUUUAGAACACAAAUUCGAUGCUUGAGAAACCCUAAUUGAAAAUCGCAGUAGGUUUUUUGCUCCAAUUCGAUUGCACAAGUGCACAGACCAUGCCCCAAUUCGAGUGAAAUCACGCGAAACCCUAAUUAAAAAUCGCAACAGGGUUUUUUGCCCCAAUUCUGACUCUGCCCCAAUUCGAGAAUUAUGUGUUGGAGUUCUGUCCGCUAGUUCAACUAGUGGACGAUCUUAAUGGCUUGAUAUGGGGUAAUUUGGGCCUAAAUUUUUUUUUGUCAACUUGUGUUUUAAAUCUGAGCCCUUAGUUUAUCAUUUAUGUAAUGGAUGGUUAUGAUGUUAUUUGCCCAUUUUGCAUUCAUAGCAAAUACAUGCUAUGGAUUAUUUUCCUAUAUAUAUAUAUAUAUAUAUAUAUAUAUAUAUAUAUUAGUUGUGUUCCGUGACUCUACGGUGUGAUUUAUCCCAAACUUUGGACAGCCCAGAUGAUUUAUUAGGGUGAGCUGGAAAUUCAAAAUUUGUUAGAUAGAUAUAAAGGGGUAACUGAAACGCAAACCUCCACAGAUGUAGCUCACAGGUUCCGGUUGAGGAUCCAUUAAUGAUAAACACGAAUCAAAUCACUGAAAAUGGGAACAAACAUUAAUAGAAACUUAAACAGAUAAAACCACUAGAAAUUUGCAAAAUUGUACUUCUAAUAUUGAAGAUAAAGAAACAACUUCAAUUCGAUUAGAGAAAGACAUCAAAUCAAUGAAAUCGAAAUUCGAUUAAAAAGAGAAUAAAUCGAUGAAUCGCUUACCUUUGAGCGAGCGAGCGAGCGAGAGAGGGAGGGAAAGAGAGUUCGAGGUUUAUUAUAAAUUUGGGAAUACGAGAAGAGGGU